rnacentral:rRNA from 1 species
UACCUGCAGCCCAAGUGGUGGUCGAUUUUAUUGAGUCUAAAGCGUUCGUAGCCGGUUUGAUAAAUCCUUGGGUAAAUCGGGAAGCUUAACUUUCCGACUUCCGAGGAGACUGUCAGACUUGGGACCGGGAGAGGCUAGAGGUACUUCUGGGGUAGGGGUAAAAUCCUGUAAUCCUAGAAGGACCACCGGUGGCGAAGGCGUCUAGCUAGAACGGAUCCGACGGUGAGGGACGAAGCCCUGGGUCGCAACCGGGAUUAGAUACCCCGGUAGUCCAGGGUGUAAACGCUGCCGACUUGGUGUUGGAGGCCCUUCGGGGGCAUUCAGUGCCGGAGAGAAGUUGUUAAGUCGGCCACUUGGGGAGUACGUCCGCAAGGAUGAAACUUAA